rnacentral:rRNA from 1 species
CAAUAGCGUAUAUUAAUGUUGUUGCAGUUAAAAAGCUCGUAGUUGGAUUCCUGACCUGGGGUAGCCGGUCCGCCUUGCAAAAGGUGCGCACUGAGCGGCCUCGGUCAUCCUUGAGAAGAGCGGUCCUGGCAUUCAGUUGUCGGGGUCGGGAUUCUCGACGUUUACUGUGAAAAAAUCAGAGUGUUCAACGCAGGCUUACGCCUUGAAUACAUUAGCAUGGAAUAAUGAGAUAGGACCUUGGCGGUCUAUUUUGUUGGUUUGCACGCCGAGGUAAUGAUUAAAAGGGACGGUUGGGGUUCUUCGUAUUCAAUUGUCAGAGGUGAAAUUCUUGGAUUUAUGGAAGACGAACUGCUGCGAAAGCGUCGAACAAGGACGUUCUCAUUAG